AUUGAACGCUGGCGGCAGGCCUAACACAUGCAAGUCGAACGAGUGGCGGACGGGUGAGUAAGGUAUGGGAAACUGCCUGAUGGCGGGGGAUAACUACGGGAAACGGUAGCUAAUACCGCAUACUAUCGGAUGUGCCCAGAUGGGAGUAGCUAGUAGGUGGGGUAAAGGCUAACCUAGGCGACGAUCCGUAGCUGGUCUGAGAGGAUGACCAGCCACACUGGAACUGUGACACGGUCCAGACUCCUACGGGAGGCAGCAGUGGGGAAUAUUGGACAAUGGGCGAAAGCCUGAUGCAGCCAUGCCGCGUGUAUGAAGAAGGCCUUCGGGUUGUAAAGUACUUUAAGCGGGGAGGCGUUACCCGCAGAAGAAGCACCGGCUAACUCCGUGCCAGCAGCCGCGGUAAUAC
rnacentral:rRNA from 1 species